rnacentral:rRNA from 1 species
UACGUAGGGGGCAAGCGUUGUCCGGAAUUAUUGGGCGUAAAGCGUCUGUAGGUGGCUUUUGAAGUCCGCCGUCAAAUCCCAGGGCUCAACCCUGGACAGGCGGUGGAAACUACCAAGCUGGAGUACGGUAGAGGCAGAGGGAAUUUCCGGUGGAGCGGUGAAAUGCAUUGAGAUCGGAAAGAACACCAACGGCGAAAGCACUCUGCUGUGCCGACACUGACACUGAGAGACGAAAGCUAGGGGAGCAAAUGGG